rnacentral:tRNA from 1 species
GGGGGCUGGCGUUGAUUAGGAUGAACAUAAAAUGUGACUCUUAAUCAAUUGGUCCUAGGUUCGAGUCCUAGUGCCCCCACCA